GUUUAUCGCUGAUAGUUCUUUCUCUUUCAGGUCAUGUAGAAACAUGCUGCGGAAAACAGGCGAACGGGCAGCGAGAACAGCUCGGUGCGCUCCGAUGCUUCCAUCAGAGGCGUUGAUGGUUAUGUCGGUGUAAAUGCUUUCUGUCAACAUACGUCCAAGGGAUGUUACCGCUGUAACUUCGGAUUGGUUCUGCGUUGAACCGUCUGCCCAGAUUGAGUAAAACUCUCCACUCUGCCAAUCCAGAACCUUGAGGUCAAGAAACUCGACGUCGAUGAUGAUUUUUCCAGUCAAGGGAACUUCAAUUGUCCAGAGGAAAUCUUCGUUUGUCUUAAUCCUCUUAUCUAUUACUUCUGCAGCAUUAAAGAAACAAUGUUUUUAAAUUCAUCUUUUGUUGUGGAACAGGAACAAAGCAAGAUCUUGUCUUUACCUGGAUGAGUAAAAGCCUUCCUCUCACCAGUAGAAGAGACAACACGAAGAACAAAGGAAGCAACAGACAAAUGCCUUCAUAUCAAUAACCCACCAUAUAUAGUGUCAAAACCAUUCUUAUUACCAAACACAUCAACUACUAAAAAAGGGAAGGAGAGAGAGAAGAGAGAGGUACCAGUUCCAAAGACCCAUCUUGAAAGGAUCGGACUUGCGGUAAGUGGAGGAAGAGAGGUUGAGGAUACGCCAUUGGGCGAGCCUGGAGAUGGUGUCUACUCUGUAAGCUGAAUCAGUCAUCCUAGAGAAAGCCAGAGCUGCAGAGAUGUCAUGGAUGCAAUCCAACCAACCCUCCAGCAGAUUCUCCCCUGACUUUCCCAGGUU